rnacentral:misc_RNA from 1 species
GGAUGAAGAACGUAGCGAAAUGCGAUAAGUAAUGUGAAUUGCAGAAUUCAGUGAAUCAUCGAAUCUUUGAACGCACAUUGCGCCCGCCAGUAUUCUGGCGGGCAUGCCUGUCCGAGCGUCAUUUCAACCCUCGAACCCCUCCGGGGGGUCGGCGUUGGGGAUCGGCCCUGCCUCUGGCGGUGGCCGUCUCCGAAAUACAGUGGCGGUCUCGCCGCAGCCUCUCCUGCGCAGUAGUUUGCACACUCGCAUCGGGAGCGCGGCGCGUCCACAGCCGUUAAACACCCAACUUCUGAAAUGUUGACCUCGGAUCAGGUAGGAAUACCCGCUGAACUUAAGCAUAUCAAUAAGCGGAGGA